CAGAGAUGGAGUCUACUCUGUCACCUAGGCUGGAGCGCAGUGGCAUGAUCAUAGCUCACCACAGCCUUGAAUCCUGGUCAUGCAAUCCUCCUGUCUCAGCCUCCCAAGGAGCUAGGACUCUGGAAUGCUCCCCCACCUGGUUCUGAGGGUAUUUCUGUGGGGUUAUUUGAGUUGUGCUUUUGUAGCACGGAUUGGAGAUGUGCAAUAAAUUGUGACCAUGCUGUCUCUUCUUGAAAAGAAGUAUCAACAUUGGUUAAAAUAAGCCUAAUAAACUGCAACAGAUACUAUUAAUCACUUAGUAUGCCCACUAAAAAUUAGACUACCGAUUUUUCUACUGGACUCCUUUUCCUAAAUGCAUAAAACCAUUUAACGCAUGAGAAAUUCAUAGCUAAGUACCAGAGCUGAGUCCAUGAUUUGUACUUUUAUUUCUGCAACCUAUUGAAUAUUUACAUUAAAAAUUUCUGAAUACAGUUUGUAAGCUAACGUGGAGUGAUUACUUCAGAUAUUUUGAAAAGUCUAAGUGGUUGCCCCACCUCUCCUAACUCCACCCCCACCACAGGUGCACAAUCUCACUGGAAGCAGUGGCGUGCUGGAGUGGGCUCGCAGUACCAUUAGGGUUGACUCUGUGCAUCUCUUCCCAGCUGCAUUUUUUCCAAUAUUCCCUGAUGGAUACACUACAGGAAGAAAAGAAAUCAAGGCUGACUUCUAUGAUAAAUCCCUGGUGCUAGAACGGAUAUCCUGCAAGAAGCAAUCAUCAAAUACCAGGUCUCUGUCUGGCUGCCACUCUGCCAACACCUGUGCCAAGAAGCCUUCCCAGGUGAUGCCACCUCGUCGUGCAUGGGCCUCCACAUCCUGCCCUGAAGUCCAUCAAGGCACCCUUCCUUGCUUGCAAACCCUCUCCCCUCGUGACCUUAAGACUGAAUCACACAGCGAAGGAAGAAAAGAGGCCUCCUCCAGAUCCUCUGCCUCCAGGCUUAAACAAAGGAAGAAGCAGAAUGAAUGAUCAUAAGUAAGGAAUCUGGAAACCGCAAGGAAAUCCAGAAAAUGAAAUUAGCAGUUUGUUCAGAAGAAAAGGAAAAAGAUUUAAAUGAGCAAGUAGCUAGUUUGUGUCACACUGUUGUUUCUAUGUCUCUGUCAACUGCAAUAAUAGUUUACAGUUGAUCAUAUAAAAGUAGAGAUGAAUAAAUUUUUGCAAAGUUCAUGUUAAACAAUGGGUUGUUUUUACAAAAUAAAACAAAAGCCAUUAAAAAAAUGGAUAAAUUCUAAUCAACAUUGAUAUUUUAAAGUAACAAAUGUCUUUUUUUGGCAGAUGACAUGUUGUAAUAGCUUUGUUCAAAUUUUGUUAUACGAAGUUCUUUACAUAAGGCAUUUUCAUACAACAUGCUUUUUCUCAAAUUCUUAUUUAACAUACUAUUUCUCCAAUUCUUAUUUAAAUAACCCUAGAGGAACUAUGAAAUAAUCUAGAGCUGAAGAUAUUGAUUCUACUCUUAGGUAGCAAAUGUUAGUUAAAUAAUUUUAUUCCUAUUUAAAGUGGUUCAGUCAUCACCUAUGAUUCCAAGUCUAUCACAAAAUAUGGUCUCUGAAAAACAUGAGGCACCUGGAGGAAAAUAAAUAAAACAGUAAUUGCAUAUGCACUUUUUAAAAUUUACAGUAAUUGGUGAGUGAAAUAUAAUAACAGAAGGAUAGAUUCUGAUCAUCUAAACAUAGCAUUCAUGUUCCAACAAAGCUGUUGCACUGUCUGACAGAUUAAAAAGUUGUAAAUAAUAAUAAAAUUGUAUUGUACUAUUUCUUUGAUUUUAUAAAGAAGCUCAUUCAGAGUAUAGUUAAUGAAUAAGACAGACAAAAAGGCAUAGAGAGACACAGAGACAAAAAAGAGACAGAGAAGUUACUUAACAAAAUACAGUAGAAUCUUUUGUUCAGCAAAAGCAAAACACCAAGUAGCUUUUAAAAUAAUUACUCUAACCUGAAACAAGAUACAUGACUUUUAACCCUGGUAUUUGUACAGAAGAAAAAUUUGGGAAAAUAUAAUAUUUGAAACCAAAUCUUAGAUAUAACUUACUCUAGCACUAUAGUAUUUGAAUUCCCUCUAUAAUAGUCCUGACAUAUGGCAUUCCAGUACCAGCUUGAACACUUCCAAACGAUAGGGUGUUACUACUUCACAGGUGAGCAUGGGCCAGUGCUGGAUAUAUAGGUUCUAUAAAAUGCUGUCUAUGGUUACUUGAAGUCAAACAUCACAGGACUUUUAACCAUUAGUCCUUAUUCUGUGAUCUAGGAAAACGAAUACAUUGAUACCUUCUGCAUGAGAGAUUCUAAAAUACAGAUGAUGGAUAUAAUGUAAUCCAUCUUAUUUUCUCUAUUCUGAGCAUCUUUCUUUGUUUCAAUCAAUACACUGAUAUUUCCAAUUAAAUUACUGGUUCCUCCCUCUAAAACGCCUGUGCUAUUUCUAACCAGAAAAAUACACGUGGAAUGAGAAACUAUGUACUUGGCAUUUAUGAUAUCAUUUUUAACAUAGAAAUGAUGCAGUAAAAAGAACAUACCACAAUACUGAAAUCUGUGAACCUCAGAUCUCUCAUAGAAUUCUGAAUAAACAUAUAUUUUGUUAAUAUUCAUUACAUAUAUUCUUUUGAAAGAAUGAUGACAUUGUUAUCUCAUGGAAUUUGGUAACCUCCAUUUCUCAGGAAUAUACACAUAUAUACAUAUAUAUAUGACAUAGAGUUAUUAGGAUUUGGAUUACCAGGCAUUUUAUGUGCAGUAAAUUAUUUUAAACUUAUUUUUUUGUACAGUAAAGACAGUGAAAGUAAUAGAUAAAAUUCUCAAAAUUCUAUGAUCCAAGAACUUUGCUUCUCUGAGAACUGUACCUACAUAUCAUUUGAUAAUGUGGAAGAAACUUUGGAAAAUAUGCUUGUAGUUUCCAAAAAAUAUACCAUUUAAGUAAAUAAUUGUAUGUGUUUGCAAAACCUAGUAUUAAAUCCCAUCUGUAUUCAGAUUAACAUAUUUAACCAAUGUUUUGCUGCUGUGAAUAAAAAUAAAUUGAUUUGCUUAUUUAUAUUAGGAACUCUGAAUGAAAAUGGGAAAAGUGAGUACCAGUGAACAACACAGAAAAAAUUGAUGUCAAUCUUUGCCAUUUUAAUUGACACAUGCUUACACUUAAAGAAAUGACAAGUGUACAUUUCCACUCAUAACCAUAUCCAAAGAAAAGCUUCCUCAAGUAUAUAAGUGUUCCUGCUUAAUUAGUCCUUGAUAUCUAUUGUUCAUGAACCCCAAGCUGGAGAGGGUGCAUAAUUCUUAGGUAGGGAAAAUAUGCAUUGAGAUACCUCCAAUUUGACAUGGCUAGCAGAACACAAGUUUUGACUAUUGGUCCACACCCAGAUUUCAUUGAAAUGGAAGAAAAUGUACUAAUAUAAAAUCAAAAUGAUAGCAUGUUGCAAAGGAGGGGAGAACAGACCAG
rnacentral:lncRNA from 10 species